GUUUCAACAAUACGAUUUUACUUGAACCACUCGAGUUAACCCCUAGUACUCUGGUUCCAACCUUCACCGAGCCAGGGUUAAACUCGAGAAACUCUUGAAUGACGUCAAACCAAUGAGAAUAUUUUAUUUUUUAUGCUUGGUCAGGGCCUUACCCUAGAGUUACUUAGAGUUGUUCCGAAUAUCAACUCGAGUGCGUUCACG
rnacentral:lncRNA from 1 species